rnacentral:rRNA from 1 species
GACGAACGCUGGCGGCGUGCUUAACACAUGCAAGUCGAACGGAAAGGCCCUGCUUGCAGGGUACUCGAGUGGCGAACGGGUGAGUAACAAGUGGGUGAUCUGCCCUGCACUUCGGGAUAAGCCUGGGAAACUGGGUCUAAUACCGGAUAGGAGACAUUUUUAGUGUGAUGGUUGGAAAGUUUUUUCGGUGUAGGAUGAGCUCGCGGCCUAUCGGCUUGUUGGUGGGGUAAUGGCCUACCAAGGCGGCGGCGGGUAGCCGGCCUGAGAGGGUGGACGGCCACAUUGGGACUUAGGUACGGCCCAGACUCCUACGGGAGGCAGAUGUGGGGAAUAUUGCACGAGGGGCGCAAGCCGGAUGCAGCGACGCCGCGUGUGGGAUGACGGCCUUCGGGUUGUAAACUCCUUUCGCUAGGGACGAAGCUUUUUGUGACGGUACCUAGAUAAGAAGCACCGGCUAACUACGUG